ACUUAUGAUAUACGUUUGAUUUGAAAUCAUACUUAUGGCUUUUGUUACCAACAUGGGUU
rnacentral:tRNA from 1 species